ACAGUGGAGGGGAGAAGGGUGGCUAGGGCUAUAGAGGAGGGUGGUCAACGUCAUUAAAGUGGUGUGUUUAGGGUGGUCAACGUCGUAAGAGGAGGCGUUUAUGGUGGUCAAUGCCAUGAAAGGGUGGUUUUGUGGGUGGGGCUGGGGAGAGAGGUGGUUUCGUGGGGGGGUGGUGGGAAGAGAAAUGGUUUCGUGGGUAGAUUGGGGUAGUCAACGCCGGAAAAUGGGGUCAAACCUCAUUUUUCGACAUAAAGGUAUUGAUUUGCAAAAAAAAAAAAAAAAAAAAAUUGAUUAAGGCGUGUCAUUGCAAAAAAAAAAAAAACUAUAAGAUGGUUUAUUACAAAAAUUUGCUUAUAAUUAAAAGGUGAUUUUUUAAAAAUUUCCUAUAAAUAACACUUUGUAAGAAAUUACCUUCUCAAAGAUCCUAUCAACUACAUACUUUAAACAAAAAUAAUUUUGCGAAAACAAUCUUACCAUACAUUCUAGCUUAGCAUUGACCCACCCGUUCUAGUCAUGUGACCUUUAUAAAUUCGAUUUCCACCCUUUCUUCUAGUAAUUCUCCAUUAAUUUCCAAUGCAAGUUUCAAUUAAAGUAUAAGUUCAAUUUUUAUCUUUGGAUAACUUUUUUCUUAAUUCUCUCUCUAAAAAGAGAGCUUCUCUCUCUAGAGUACUAGAGCCUCAUCCCCAAAACCCCAACUUUUUCCACCGCCUUCCACCGUCUUCCACUGUUUUUCAACUCUUCCAUGACUUUACAAACCUCAAAUUUUAAUUACAAAAGCUAGGAUCAGAUUAAAGUUCACAAAAAACAACUUUAGUUCUUCAAUUCCAUGUUCUUUUCGGUGAUCCUCCUUCAAAAUCAUAACCCCUUUUUCAUUUUCCCCUGCUUCGUUUAAGAUGGCAGUUAAUAAAUUCGCUCUUUCGAGCCGGCGACGCUCAUCAACUAGCUAUAAUCCUUGUUUCCGCAAUCAUCUUGUACUGGGCAAGUUCAUAAACUACAGAAAUUUCUCCGAGACUCGAAUCCAAAAGUGGGUUUCCAGCCAGUGGAUUACCUUUGGGGAAAUUAAAGUCCAGAAAUUCAAUAGUAUUUUCUUGUUUCUUUGUGAGGACGUUCGUGAUUGAGAAGCUAUGCUACAACAAGGUUCCGCGGGGUACCAAGCGGCUCUCUUGGUCUUUACUCCGUGGACUCAGGUGUGUACUCAGUUGCAAAUACCAGGAGAAUUAAGUGUCUUGUAAAAAUACCAUGAGGAACAAGAAGGCCAGAAGCAGAGCUAUCCAUAAAGAAGAGUUCCUUUGCAGGAACUGGUGCUUCAGAAAUGAAGACUUGAGAAGAGAAGGUUCCCCUCAGGGAACAUAAGCUUCAGAGAAGAAGCCUCAUCAGAGAAGAGAAGUUCCUUCCAAGGAACAGGAAGGAACAGGAUGCCUCGGAGUAGAAGCUUCAUCAAAGACAUGAAGACUAAAAUAUAUUUUAUAUUCUAGGAUUUAUGUAAGUAUAAGAUAUUAAUUUGCACUCGAAAAAUCUGUGUGGAAUUGGUCUAAAAGAUAAAAUAUGUGCAUGCUAGUUUUUAAGAAAACUGUUGCUUUCUAAAACGUUUAUCCUUCUGAAAGGGAUUUUAUUUUAUUCUGAUUUUCGAAAAUAUCUUAUGCAAAAGAAUUCUAUUUAUUUUUCUUAUUUUCGAAAAUAUCUUUUGAAAAAAAAUAAAAUCACCAUGUUUUCCAAAACUUGCGGCCUACUCUCCCAUGUUCUUCUUCAGUCAUGGUGUUGCACAUUGAGGAGUUCAUGGUUCCUUAAUUUAAGGAACAUGAUCUUCUUAGUGGGUAUGAGUAGUGGCGUAAUGGUGUUGCUGCACAAAGAUGAUUUUCCAAGACAUUUUGCAACCUAUAAAUAGCUAUUGAUUUCAGAUCGAAAAUCUCACCCUUGCUCACAUAAGUUUUCAAGCUUUAAUCGAGUUAAGAGUCAAAUUCCACACAAGUUAAUUAGAGUGUUCUUAAUGUUCUUAUACUAGAGUUUGUUUAUCUUUCGAGUUGUAAUUUGGGGAAUGGGGAAGUUCGAGUGAACUCUUGUGUAUGAGAAAGAGAAGUGAAAGAGAAGAGAAAGAGAAGAGGAAGAGAAGAGAGAACAGAGAAGUGAGAAGAGAGAAAGAGAAGAGAAGAGUAACAAGUUGGGUGACUUGUUCCUCGGGGUUUCAAGUUCGUAGAGGAAUUUGAGUUUGAGUCUUUAGUUUGUAAUAGGACCAUUUGCCCUAUUAUAGUGAAGAUUCUUUUCCCAAAA